CAGACAGGAGUGUGGGAGAAUGUGAUACUCACUGCUUGGCCGGGGGCUCCUUGGGGUCCUUCUAUAAGCAUCCCCUGAAAAAGAAAAAAAGUGGAUACAGUAGCAUUAAAGGGCAGCCUGUGAAUCCACAGGCAACGGAGACUGUGAGGUAACUGUGACCUCCACUCACCUACAGACAUAAGACAGACAAGAAUGCUCCAAGCUACAACCCAAUACCAUGAGAAACAACAAACAAAAGGACACCGCCAACAACCCUUCAAACAAAUGCCACCAGCAUCUUCUCCAUCUUUCCACAUUCUUGACCACCAUCUCCGUACUCCCACCCCCCCACAACAAAACCACUACAGCACUCACGCUGCUCUCUCUGAUGUCGGUCUCCGCUGGUACACCAGGACCAAACUCGUCUUCAUAUGUUUCAGAUGUUGGUUUGGCAUCAGCAGUGCCGUAUUCAUAAAAGUCUUUGGUGUCAUAUUCCUUCAGGUCGUAUUCCUUAAACUCAUACACGUCAGUGGCAGGAUCCACAUUCUCUUUGGUUUCAACUGGAGCAGCGGUUUCCACUGCGGCAGUGGGGUCCGCCCCAACCUGUUCCACGCCAGUGAUGUAAUCAUCCACGAUUUCCCCUUCGUAAUUCUUGGAUGAGUCCAGGAAUUGAGAAGAAGGGGCAAGGGUUGAAGAUGCAAGAUGGGGGAGAAACAUGGAGGCUUGGUUAGUGGAAUAGAAUCAUAUGAACACCUUCAAUGAGGCACAUGAACAUGAAAAUGCCAAGCAGUGUUACAUCAAAUGCUUCAUUACAAGUAAUGAAAGUGUUCCUGUGGUCAAUCAUAAAGAAACUACCAGGCCUCUCACUCAAAUGUAAUAUAAUAGACACUCUUGUUCAAAGUUGAUGACAAAAAGAUGACUAUUAACUCGUUGGGAUCUUAUUACAGUGCAGAAUUUCUCAGGGUUGAUUCAUUCGGUCAGACGGACCAGAGGUUUAGCUGCAAGAGUCAGAUGUUCUACAGUUUACUUAAAGAUAUUAACAAAGUUUAUGAAGUAAUGUGUCUUGUUUUCCAUAAAUAUUGCGACAAUAUAA